GACGUAGGGCGCGAGCGUUGUCCGGAUUUAUUGGGCGUAAAGAGCUCGUAGGCGGCUUGUCGCGUCGUCCGUGAAAACCCACAGCUCAACUGUGGGCUUGCGGUCGAUACGGGCAGGCUAGAGUUCGGUAGGGGAGACUGGAAUUCCUGGUGUAGCGGUGAAAUGCGCAGAUAUCAGGAGGAACACCGGUGGCGAAGGCGGGUCUCUGGGCCACUACUGACGCUGAGAAGCGAAAGCAUGGGGAGCGAACAGG
rnacentral:rRNA from 1 species